UGCUUAACACAUGCAAGUCGAACGCAGUAGCAAUACUGAGUGGCGGACGGGUGAGUAACACGUGGGAACUUGCCGAUUGGUGGGGGAUAACUGUGGGAAACUGCAGCUAAUACCGCAUAAGCCCUGAGGGGGAAAGAUUUAUCGCCAAUCGAUAGGCCCGCGGCGGAUUAGGUAGUUGGUGAGGUAAAGGCUCACCAAGCCGAUGAUCCGUAGCUGGUUUGAGAGGAUGACCAGCCACACUGGGACUGAGACACGGCCCAGACUCCUACGGGAGGCAGCAGUGGGGAAUAUUGGACAAUGGGGGAAACCCUGAUCCAGCGAUGCCGCGUGACCGCCUACCCUUAGGGUUGUAAAGUUC
rnacentral:rRNA from 1 species